rnacentral:rRNA from 2 species
GUCAGGAGUAACACGUGGGUAACCUGCCUGUAAGACUGGGAUAACUCCGGGAAACCGGAGCUAAUACCGGAUAGUUCCUUGAACCGCAUGGUUCAAGGAUGAAAGACGGUUUCGGUUGUCACUUACAGAUGGACCCGCGGCGCAUUAGCUAGUUGGGGGGGUAAUGGCUCACCAAGGGGACGAUGCGUAGCCGACCUGAGAGGGUGAUCGGCCACACUGGGACUGAAACACGGCCCAAACUCCUACGGGAGGCAGCAGUAGGGAAUCUUCCGCAAUGGACGAAAGUCUGACGGAGCAACGCCGCGGGAGUGAUGAAGGUUUUCGGAUCGUAAAGUUCUGUUGUUAGGGAAAAACAAGUGCGAGAGAAACUGCUCGCACCUUGACGGUACCUAACCAAAAAGCCACGGUUAACUACGUGCCAGCAGCCGCGGAAAUACGUAGGGGGCAAGCGUUGUCCGGAAUUAUUGGGCGUAAAGGGCUCGCAGGCGGUUUCUUAAGUCUGAUGUGAAAGCCCCCGGCUCAACCGGGGAGGGUCAUUGGAAACUGGGAAACUUGAGUGCAGAAGAGGAGAGUGGAAUUCCACGUGUAGCGGUGAAAUGCGUAAAGAUGUGGAGGAACACCAGUGGCGAAGGCGACUCUCUGGUCUGUAA